UUCUAUAACAUUUAUUAUAAGUAUUUUUACUCUGAAACCACUUUUAAUGUUUCUUUUCUUUUCUGUCGAUAAACUGAAUUUUUCAUUGGCAUAAUAUGGCAGCCGCGACUUCUCCAUACGUCAAAAAGUGAAUUAAUUCAAGUUUCAACUACAACUGGCCGUCUCGCGCGGUCGUAGGUCGUUGAUAAGCGACGAAAGACGCUUCCGGGAAUAGAUUAUGACGAUUAUAUGUGAUUAUACUUAAAGCUGAAUAAUUAUGAAUGAUCAAAAGCAAAAGAAAACUUCAAUGGGCUUGGUAUGUUCUAAAUAAUAACUGGAAAAUCCGAAAAUUAAAUUACUAGUACUAACUAGGUAGUAACUAGUGACUCAGCAAGUUGAUCAAAAGAAAAUAUGACUCAUUCAAAAUCAUAAUUUUUAUCAAUGUUUUAAAUUAAAUAUAAUUUAGUAAUAGAAGAAUGGAAUACUGAAAAUAAAUGGCAACAUUUGAUAUAAUUUA